rnacentral:rRNA from 1 species
ACCUUACCUGGCCUUGACAUCCACGGAAUUCGGCAGAGAUGCCUUAGUGCCUUCGGGAACCGUGAGACAGGUGCUGCAUGGCUGUCGUCAGCUCGUGUUGUGAAAUGUUGGGUUAAGUCCCGCAACGAGCGCAACCCUUAUCCUUUGUUGCCAGCGAUUCGGUCGGGAACUCAAAGGAGACUGCCGGUGAUAAACCGGAGGAAGGUGGGGAUGACGUCAAGUCAUCAUGGCCCUUACGGCCAGGGCUACACACGUGCUACAAUGGCGCAUACAAAGAGAAGCGAACUCGCGAGAGCAAGCGGACCUCAUAAAGUGCGUCGUAGUCCGGAUCGGAGUCUGCAACUCGACUCCGUGAAGUCGGAAUCGCUAGUAAUCGUGGAUCAGAAUGCCACGGUGAAUACGUUCCCGGGCCUUGUACACACCGCCCGUCACACCAUGGGAGUGGGUUGCAAAAGAAGUAGGUAGC